UUCCAACUACUCUUCCUGUGGUAGCUUCAGUUUGGUCCACACUAAAAUUUCUAGCCACACCAAAAUCUGCAAUCUUCGGGUUCAAAUCUUUAUCUAAGAGAAUGUUACCCGCUUUGAGGUCACGGUGUAUAAUUGUGAGCCGCGAAUCUUGAUGAAGAUACAAAAUCCCACGAGUAAUUCCCUCGAUAAUGUUGUAUCGUCUUGUCCAAUCCAGUUGACUACUCUUCUUCGGGUCUGGAAUAAAUCCCAUAUAUCAGCUGAUUAGACUUAUGAGAUCAAGAACCAAGGUUUCGAGAAUAUAAGCCUAUAAUAUAUCAUAUGUUUCUUACCAAAAAGGAAGUGAUCGAGACUUUUAUUGGGCAAAAACUCGUAGACUAAUAUCUUUUCUUCUCCUUUGACAGAAAACCCAGGGCAUAUGCAACGUAAUGGAAGUAUUAGUGAGCAUACGAAAUAUUGUGGACAUGGUUGGACGAUCUGUAGGAUUUUCUUGAACACAUAACAAUGCAAUGUGGAUGCACCUAAACACUUCAUUUCUGUCAUAAUUCUCCUCCAUGGCCGGGUCUAUCAUUUCCAGCAAUGAGUCAUUGUUCCAAAGCCUCCAUACCUAUUCAAGUCAUUUAUCAAGAAAAUAGUGUUGACAUCCAUGAUCAUUGCUAAAACAAGUAGAAGAGUUUGAGCUUAAUUGGCAUUGGAAUUUGUACUAACAUAAGUGACCAAGUUGCUUAUUGAGCCGUCUGUCUCGUUGAAGCUACUAUUCUUUUUUCCACAAAUAAUCUCCAUAAUCAAUACUCCGAAGCUAUACACAUCUGAUUUCGUGGAGAACUGUCCACUUGUCACAUACUCGGGAGGCAUGUAACCGCUAUAAAAUAUAACUUUUUAUCAACAACAACACUGAUAGGAAAAGUAUAAUUACUAUGAACAAUUACUUACAAUGUUCCAACUACUCUUCCUGUGGUAGCUUCAGUUUGGUCCACACUAAAAUUUCUAGCCACACCAAAAUCUGCAAUCUUCGGGUUCAAAUCUUUAUCUAAGAGAAUGUUACCCGCUUUGAGGUCACGGUGUAUAAUUGUGAGCCGCGAAUCUUGAUGAAGAUACAAAAUCCCACGAGUAAUUCCCUCGAUAAUGUUGUAUCGUCUUGUCCAAUCCAGUUGACUACUCUUCUUCGGG
rnacentral:lncRNA from 1 species